GCCUCGUGCCCGCCCACUCCGCGGCCGCCAUGUUCCCGGCGGGGCCUGGGCCUGUGUAAGUGACGCCCCCAGCCUGCGCUCUUCGAAGCGAGGUUUCCCCCUGGAGGGCUUUGUGGUGACUCCUGGGGGUGAGUGGUUAGCAGGCUGAACAUGUGACCAAAUGGCCUCUGACUGGGUUUGACUGACUCAUGAGAGAUGACCUAACACUACCGUGCUCAGCUUGUCCCAUGUCCCCUUGCCCCUUGGCAACACACAACAGCAUGCACAGCCCAGCGGAAACCGCCAAGCUCGCAUCACCGGCUUGGAUUUAAAACACAAGUGGA
rnacentral:lncRNA from 1 species